UUACUGUGGCACCACUGUAUUUUGAAGUUUUCCACUGUGAUCAUCCCACUGUAUUUUGAAGUUUUCCACUGUGAUCAUCCCACUUUAUUUAGAUGAGUUCUGAAAGUUCAUCAGGCGGUUCUCCUGAAAAGUCUUCAUAAGUAUCUCACUCAAAUAAAGAGUCUGAAUAUGUGUCAUCAUCAGAUGAAAAGUAUUGGAAAGUCAAGUAUAAAGGGUCAUGGAAAGCUGCGAGCCAGCUUCAAAAAAAACAAAAUACUCCAGUAGUGAUGAUG